GCUGGGCAUGGUGGCACGUGCCUGUAAUCCCAGCUACCUGGGAGGCUGAGGCAGGAGAAUUUCUUGAACCCAGGAGGUGGAGGUUGCAGUGAGCCAAGAUCACACCACUGCACUCUAGCCUGGGUGACAGAGCAAGACUCUGUCUCAA
rnacentral:SRP_RNA from 1 species